rnacentral:rRNA from 1 species
UACAGAGGUCUCAAGCGUUGUUCGGAUUCACUGGGCGUAAAGGGUGCGUAGGUGGCGGGAUAAGUUUGAUGUGAAAUCUCCGGGCUUAACCCGGAAACUGCAUUGAAUACUAUUCUGCUCGAGGGUUGGAAGGGGACUGGAAUACGUUGGUGUAGCAGUGAAAUGCGUAGAUAUCAAGUGGAACACCAGUGGCGAAGGCGAGUGACCCUGGACAACUCCUGACACUGAGGCACGAAA